rnacentral:rRNA from 1 species
UACGUAGGGUGCAAGCGUUGUCCGGAAUUAUUGGGCGUAAAGAGCUCGUAGGCGGUUUGUCGCGUCUGCUGUGAAAACCCGAGGCUCAACCUCGGCCUGCAGUGGGUACGGGCAGACUAGAGUGCGGUAGGGAGAUUGGAAUUCCCGGUGUAGCGGUGAAAUGCGUAGAUAUCGUCUGGAACGCCGAAGGUGAAAACAGCUCGCUGGGCCGCGCUGACGCUGAGACACGAAAGCCAGGGAGCGAACGGG